UAAUGCAUAAGUAACCUGCCCUAGACAGGGGGAUAACUAUUGGAAACGAUAGCUAAGACCGCAUAGGUACGGACACUGCAUGGUGACCGUAUUAAAAGUGCCUCAAAGCACUGGUAGAGGAUGGACUUAUGGCGCAUUAGCUGGUUGGCGGGGUAACGGCCCACCAAGGCGACGAUGCGUAGCCGACCUGAGAGGGUGACCGGCCACACUGGGACUGAGACACGGCCCAG
rnacentral:rRNA from 1 species